rnacentral:rRNA from 1 species
GACGAACGCUGGCGGCGUGCUUAACACAUGCAAGUCGAACGAAGUGGCGAACGGGUGAGUAACGCGUAAUCAACCUGCCCUUCAGAGGGGGACAACAGUUGGAAACGACUGCUAAUACCGCAUACUGAAGGAGGGGAUUGCGUCUGAUUAGCUAGUUGGAGGGGUAACGGCCCACCAAGGCGAUGUUCCUGAGCCGGGGUGGGGGGAUGAACGGGCACAAUGGGAAUGGGACACGGCCCAGACUCCUACGGGAGGCAGCAGGGGGGAAUCUUCCGAAAUGGAAGAAAGUCUGACGGAGCAACGCCGCGUGAGUGAUGACGGCCUUCGGGUUGUAAAGCUCUGUUAAUCGGGACGCGGUACCGGAAUAGAAAGCCACGGCUAACUACGUGCCAGCAGCCGCGGUAAUAC